GACGAACGCUGGCGGCGUGCUUAACACAUGCAAGUCGAACGGAAAGGCCCUGCUUUUGUGGUGUGCUCGAGUGGCGAAAGGGUGAGUAACACGUGAGUAACCUGCCCUUGACUUUGGGAUAACUUCAGGAAACGGGGGCUAAUACCGUAUAGGAGCUCCUGCUGCAUGGUGGGGGGUGGAAAGUUUCGGCGGUUGGGGAUGGACUCGCGGCUUAUCAGCUUGUUGGUGGGGUAGUGGCUUACCAAGGCAUGGACGGGUAGCCGGCCUGUGAGGGUGACCGGCCACAUUGGGCCUGAGGUACGGCCCAGACUCCUACGUGAGGCAGCAGUGGGGAAUAUUGCACAAUGGGCGGAAGCCUGAUGCAGCAACGCCGCGUGCGGGAUGACGGCCUUCGGGUUGUAAACCGCUUUCGCCUGUGACGAAGCGUGAGUGACGGUAAUGGGUAAAGAAGCACCGGCUAACUACGUG
rnacentral:rRNA from 1 species